UACGUAGGGUGCGAGCGUUGUCCGGAAUUACUGGGCGUAAAGAGCUCGUAGGUGGUUUGUCGCGUUGUUCGUGAAAUCUCACGGCUUAACUGUGAGCGUGCGGGCGAUACGGGCAGACUAGAGUACUGCAGGGGAGACUGGAAUUCCUGGUGUAGCGGUGGAAUGCGCAGAUAUCAGGAGGAACACCAGCGGCGAAGGCGGCGCUCUGGGCCGGAACUGACGCUGAGGAGCGAAAGCGUGGGUAGCAAACAGG
rnacentral:rRNA from 1 species